rnacentral:lncRNA from 1 species
ACAUUCGGCUACAAUGAGCUUCGUUCAGAAUCAUCGAAAUGAGUCCUGAAUUUCUUGGAACACACAACCGACUUCUGAACCUCAAACAAUCGUCAUCAUCAAUUUGAAACUCUGAUUCCAUAUUCGGAACACAUUCAGCCCGUUUUACAGCCAAUUCAUCAUCGACUUUCUGGGCUUCACGAAUUUGAUGAAUCAAUAAUGGUUUGGCCUUUAAUUCUGCCACUAACACAUUGUCGGAUAGAACAGACAAGUGUACAUUCAUCGCUCGUAAAGCAAACAGUGAUUUACGACUUAAGGC